AGCGAAGGCAGGAGCGUGAGGUGAACUGAAUUUCAGGUCGCACCUUGCUUAGACUCCACUCGAAGGGGAAGAGACUAUGUGUGUUGCCACCACAAGGACAACCCUGGGAGAACCUAUUUCAGAGCUGUUUUUUGGGGGGCUGUCAACAACCGAGGAAGACGGAUAAAGGAAAGCUGAUGGAACAGAAGGUCCAGAGGUUUAGUACGAAGGAAGUGAAGACGGAUAUCAAAAGGACGAAGAGUGAAAAGGCAGUUGGUCCAGAUGACACACCUGGGAUAUUUCCUGCAUCAUUUGGAUAAUGACUUUUUGAUGAUGUGAGUCGGUGGUUCCACCUCUGGGAGGAGCCACCGUAUUCCUGCAUGCUGUCCACACCAAGCCUCUCAGCAGCUGCUCAGCCACAGCUCUUGUUCACUCUACUCACCUGCCUGCUUCCCUGCCUCAACAUUUGGAUACCUUGGAUCACCACUGCUUGGAUUCACCUCCGCUCACCCUGACCACCUACCCCUCCACCCCAUUAUUCCACCUGCAGCAAUGACCCUGAAUCUACCCGUCCUGUCUGUCUACCCCUUUGCCCCCACGUCACUAAGUUUUCUAGUUUCACUGCUUCAUAGUAUUUAGUUGUGCUUCACGUUACUUCAUAGUUCUUGGUUAUAUUCUAGUUCACAGUACAUCAUUGACUUUUCAAGUGUUUCCCCGCAGUUUGUAAAUAAGCAUUGUUAUCACGUUUAUCAGUGCCUCCAUCUUUGUCUGCGUUUGAGUCCGUUUGCCUAAUUUGGCCUUUCGGCCAUGACGUUUUCUUUCUGUUCCAGAGCUUGUCUUGACUUCCACGGAUAAUCUGA